AAAACUAGCAAGCAGAAGUCUCUCUGGAACAAGCUAGAAUCGUAAAAGUUUUCAAGAAUCUCGUCACAAACUAAACAGUACAAAUUGCACAUUCUUUAUGAAAGUAUCAGCCUUUAGUGCGUGCCUGGAUCCAACUAUAAUAGAUUAUCCCAAAGUGGGAAAGAAUGAACAGCACAAAAUUAGCAGAACUGGGAGCCGAGUUUGUUUAGUGAAGGUAAUACGAUCUGCACUUCAGGGGCUUGAUUCUUAGGCAACGGGAGAAGGCUAACUGAAGUUUUAUUUUUGCAAGUGAACACUUGGUAGGAUCUCACGAGGUAGACUGGUACACUGAAUUGAGUAUCAGGAAAAUUAUAUUAAUGAGUAUACUGUUUGUAUGUCUUAGAAUAAUAGCUAUAGUAUAAUCAUGCCUGUUGUUUAUAUAAUAUUACAUGAUGUGCAUUCCUUACCUAAUAGACAAAUGUAACCCAUAUACAGUACAUAUUCGUGUAUUUAUGUAUAUUCUAGGUUCUGUAUUUUUAUGUCAGAUGAGUAUAUUCCUGAGUAGGUGUAUAACUAUGCCUACUUUAUUAACAAGUAUUAACACAAUUAGAGAAAUACAUUAUGGUUAUAGUGUCACGGGCUUGUUAGUGUGACAUUCUCUCAAACUUCAUAUAAUAACAGAGGAAUUAUCAAAAAGAAACAGUUAAGGUAUAAUAAUAAUUUUAGCCAUUCUUUUUCCAAGUUACCAUAAUCUACCCAAAGAUAACUAAUUGUUCAAAGUAAACAUUCCACUGUGACCACAAAAGGAAUCCAUUACACAAACAUAUAAUUCACAGUCAUUUUUAGUGGGCUGUAAACAGUUUGGAAUGAGCAUAAAAUGGGACAAAAAUCAAAGUGAGCAUUUUGAAAUGAAAAAGUGUUUGCUACAAAAGGUCAGUCCCUUUGCUUGGCAAACUAUGUAGAAAAGCCUGGGAAAAUGCUGAUCACACAAGCAAUGAGGGAAGUUUAAAGCCAACAGCCUCCCUGUUUCUUUAAACAGACAUCGGAACCUAUAACUGGAUCCUGUCAAACAAACGACAGCAAAAAAAUAUAACAGCUGCUAAGAAGUCAAGUUGAGAGAUAAAGUUUUCGAGGCUAAGGACCUUCUCAGAAGUAGACUAAAGGUCUUUCUUAAAUCUUUAAGCAAGGUUAUGGAUCCCCAGGGUGGCUUUUAGGCACCAAGUCAAAUAUGUAACUUUGUGUAUCAUUCUUGUCAUAGAAUUUUGUGUUCCAGAAAAAAGAAAGAGGACAAACUUGUUGAUGAGCAUCUGCUGAAGCUUUCUGCAAAGCAGCUUAUAGCUGGAGGCAUCAAAUUUGGGAGACACGAAAGUGUUCGGAUCAUCUUUUCUAAUAAUGAAACCAGUGACUGUCACCAGGAAUGACCCCGUGAUGGGGCUGUUGCCACCCACAGAGAGAAGAAGACAAUGAAGAAGGAGGCAUGUUCAAACCAGAUCAAGGCAGUCAUCACUUCAAUCAAAUUGUUUCCAAAUUUUGGGGGCUGGGGUCCUGGGUGAGAGGGAGUGCAGGGUAUUUAUGACAUAGAGCUGCCUAUUCCAGAACUCUCCCAUGUAUUUUUAUUUUAUCUUCAAAAAGAAAGGCCAUAUUAAAGCGAAGUAUCUAAGAAAGAACAAUGCUACAUAAAGUUUUUGUUUUCAUAUCUAUUGCCCCAGAACAUCCUUUGAUAAAACAUACUUAGAGCAAUAUAGCCAAAUUCAAAGAAAAGUUGAACAUUACACUUCUCCAUAUUUCAAUCUGACUAACAUUGACAGAGCACUAAUUAUGAACAUCCAGAUUCUGAUAGGGCCGCUUGCCUCCUUCCCACAGAGAAACAUAGAAAAUCCUAUUUAGCACUUUUGCAACAUGGAAUCAUCUUUCUGAUGACUACAUUUUAUAGAGGUUGAUUAAAUUUCAAUGUCAGUAACCAGGUAGGGUAACAAGUCAAAAGAAAGAGAUUUUUAAAAAAUCUAUUGAACAAAAUUUGCUGCCUCCCCCCAAACAAAAUGAUAUAGUUAUUAUUAUUACUUUUUAUCUAUCUUGGGAAUUUGUAGAAUACUGUUGAUUUUUAAUAGACAUGAGUUUGAGGGUAAAGAUUUGCAGGCCAAACUGGCAGUGAUGUUAAAAGUAAUGAAAGAACAGUAUCUUUAUCUCAGGAUAUGUCACUAUGAAUCGUUGAUAUUACUAUUUUCUGUGCUUGGAGCAGUCCACACAUCUGUUGGAUGUGGCCCCUGAUGAGGAGAAGCUGAGUAUGAGACCUCUGAUAUGCACUAUCUUUAGAGGCACAUUCAAUGCACACAUAAUGUGGACUCUCGAAUCCCAAUCUUACCAUGAGUGAGACCUCCUUUCUCAAGCACUAUGGAAAAUUCUACUCAUCUCACUGCAUACAAAGCAUUUCUUCAUACAUUUGUUCAAAUGAUCAGUUUUCCGGUCACAAUGAAAUUCUG